UCUAUGCGUCAUAUCCUGCCUCCCGCCGCUUCUAAACACACAGGAAGCCUCAUCGUGGAUCAUCUAAAAAAUGCAGGCGCUACGAUCAGGCACCCAGCUGCCGUCCUUGGGAGCGGCCUGCCGCCCUACGCUCCUCCACUUAGCCACCGCCUAACGCACACCAACCCCUCCUUAAGCAUGGAGUCCGCGACUGCUGGGCCGUGCGGGAGUGCGGGUGACAUGGCUCGAGGCAGUCGGGGAUGCGGGAUCUAGGUGUCGGCGGUGGAUCUCGCCGGAUCCGUGGAAGGCGACGGCGGCUACGGCUUGCGGUGGAGCGAGGUGACAUGCAGGAGCUCGGGGAGGACGCCGGCGCUUCUGUCGGUACUGGGAAGAGGCGGAGGCGACCGUAUCUGGGGCAGCGGUGGUUGCAGGCGACUUCGGUGGUGGCGUGAUGUCUUAUGUACGGCUGCACCGGUGGUUAGAGAAAGGAGGAGAGAAAAUAAAAGAGGGAGGCAUGGUGGCAUGGCUCAUCGUAUUUGUCGCCGACGGCGGAGGAAGACUGUGUUUUACCUGCGACAGAUUGCAAGGCCCAAGAAGUUUCAAGCAAAGGAGGAGGCAGCGUUCCUGCACAUCACUGGAACCAUAAAGUUCGUAGAAGGGUAUAGAUCAAUGCUAGAUCAGAAGCUAAUUAUAGUGGGGAGCACAAGCUUUUGAUGCUGGGUCUUGGGGGACCUGGCAUAGGUUAUGCAGGACAUUGACAAGUGUUCUUCAUCGCACGUUAAAGAAAAUCAAGUUUGAUGCGAUAAAGGUUUUCUUUCAAAAUCAGCUUUUGUGGCUACAAAGCUUAAGAAGGUUGACUGAAGGUACUCAAAGGAUCUGAACCUGAAACUCUGAAUUUUUUUCUCUUGCUUGGCAAUCAUUCUGCACUGCAAAUGAAUAUAUUCAAGUUCAGCUUAGUUGGUUGGGAAGGUAAAUAGAUAAUGAUAGAUAUGUUGCUAUUCAGUGUUUGGGUGUCGUGCUAAUGAUGCUACUCUUCAUGGUGCUUCCACUGUACUUUUAUAUAUUAUAUCUUGAUGUUUGGUUGUUUUUUCUAAAUAUGUAUGCCGUUAUGUCUGAUCUAUCUGAGAUUUAUUUGUACAUAAUCUUCUAUUCACAAAUAGCGGCCACUGAUCGCUAGCACUAUAAUUUAACUCCACUAAUUAACUUCUAUGUCAGUAUUGGGCUAUUGGCCUGCAACUUAGCAAUAAAUGGCAAACUAUGAGGACGCUAUGUUAUCCUCCCAGCUUUCUAUUUUGGUUUUGUUGAGAGGAUAUUAGAACUGGACUAUUUGUGUGUUCAAAAACGACAGUGGAGCUUCUUUCGAUUCCGCAUAACAAUGAGAAGGGCAACAAGGCUGCACUUAAAAACCAGCAAAUCUGAUUCCAGUGUGGAUGCAAGGUAUAAUCCUUACAAAUGUGACUAGCCCUACUUUGGUCUUGUUAUCUUUUAAAUUAUUCAUUGUCCAACAAGGGGAUUCAAGCUUCUAUUGGAUUAUAUUGUAAUAAUAUGACUUGCGAAUUUAGAACAAUGGUAUAUAUUUGAUAAAAAAGACAAUGGGCUGAAGCCAGCCUGAACACUUCAUUCAUGUACAAAAAUUCACUUGCGGGAGAUUAUAUUUGUUUGUGGAAUUAUAUAUUGGAAAAGUGUGCAUUUUGAUAAGAGAAUAUAUAACUGAUGCAACAGAAGCGAAAGAUGGCAUGAUACUAAGAGGCAUACCGAUUUUACCUUUUUUUAAGAGCCAUACUGAUUCAUGGAGAGUAAUAUUCCAAAUUAUAUUUGUAUAUCAAAUUUAGGCACUAUGCAUUGUCUGUAUUUCUAAUUUCCGGAUGUUGAUACAAUAUACUAGAUGGAAUGGCGUGCUCCGUCGUAUAGCCGCACCCACCACAUGCGAUUUUAGGUGCGCUUGGGUCAAGUUGUGUCAAUGAUAAAUGCCAAUGUAGAAGCACAAUAAUUCACCACAUUACCAGUGAUACGUAAUACAGUGGAAACAAAAACCCUACAGGUUCAACCAUCCAAGACGGAAAAGAACUGGCUAACAGAUCCGCUUCACAGCCACCGGUGAACACACGUGAUUCUCGAAGGCAGUGGUAGUCACACACCAUGAUGGAGGACUUCGUCCAGUCAUCUGAUCAUAAGUCUGUUCAGAGCGUGGCAGAGACUGGGAUCGAGCACAUGCGUAGCUGCCAACAACAGCAAGCGGCAACAACCAGAUUAAGUCUUUAUCUAGAGAAUGACACCGCAACAUGGGGUCUCUAGAGGAUUAUGGCAAGCGAGUAGCGCAAGACACUAAAACAGCUGAGAACGAAGGCCAUAAAUGGCAAUGAGUUUUACUCGCGC